AGUCAGGUUUGGGAUAACAGAACUUCACUUUCUCCCCUUCAACCCAACUGACAAGAAGUCGCACACACCUACUUACAGGUUAUGCUAAAAUGCACCAAGUCAGCAAAGGUGCAAUAGAGCAGAUUCUUAGCCUCGCAUAUAACAGAUCAGACAUAGCAAACAGAGUGACACAUCAUUGAUAAAUUUGCUGAGAGAGGACUUUGCUAUGACAAGUUGGAAGCUGGUAUAUUGACAUUUGUCAUUUCUUCUGUUAUACUUGGGCAUCUGACUGGUUUGAUGGAUGAAAUUGGGUGUGUGGAUGGAACAAAACUCACUUAGCUGGUGUGUGGAUGCCGUUCUUUGUGGUUUUAGCAGGAAGUAAAUUCAAUCAGCCUAUCAAGACAAGAAUCAACGAGGCUGAGCAAGUGGUGCAUCACAAUUCACAUGGACAAGUUCUUCGGCGGUGCUCCAGCCGUCUCUUUGAAAAGAACACUACUACACCGGGCGAGUCUCCAUUAGGUCCCUCGACGGGUACUCUUCAAUCGGGGACUGCCCCUAUGACGAUGCCCACGUUUGAUGGUCCGGAUGCUAUUUCCUGGCUAGCAAGAGCUGAACAGUAUUUUUUGAUCAACAACACUCCGGCAGCAGAUCAGGUAGUUUUUCCCAGGAACUGUUGAAACGUUUCGGGUGAUAAUAUGGCUUUGGACGGUUACGAGGCUUUCGCGCAGUGUUGUCAAAAUGGCGCUCGGGUCGCCCGGGUCGCCCGGGUCGAGACCGCCACCGCCCCAACAUGGGUGGGUUGAUCGAGGUACGGGGUCGCCCCGGGUCGCUGGGUCGAGAGGGUCGCUGGGUCGAGAGGGGUCGCCUGGGUCGAGUACAGGUAAUUCCUAAAACCUUUAUUCUCUAAAUCUUUUCCUUUUUUAAUGCUGAUUUGUUUUUACUAAAAUAAACAUAAGUAUAAAAGUAAAACUUACCUAAAAGUACGCUGAUUUUCUCAAAUCUUUCACACUUUUGUUCAAUAUUUACCCCAAUUUCAUAUCCAACUGUUAUUUUUAA